AUAAUUUUUUAAAAUAAAUAUUUUGAAUUAUUCAAAAUAAUAAAGCUUUAAAUAUAUUUUUUUCAGGAAUAACAUUGGAAAUAUCAAGAAAAAGUUUUAAAAAUAGAAGAUAAAUCAGAAGAAGUUUUCGUAUGUUGAAUACUUUCCAGAAUUUUUUGGACAAACAUUUUUCUAUUGGAAGAAGAGAAAAAAAAUUAUGGAAAAAAUGAUAUUAAACUCAUCAGGUUCUCAAGAAAGAAGAAAGCAUGAAGCCGACGAGUUGCAAGAAAUAUAUCAUUAAGAGCUCGGACCAUAAUUCCACGAUUCGAUGGACUACCAACCAUUGUGUCGAAUCGAUUGAUCCUUAAAAUCACGACCAUUACUACUUGUACUACUGCUACUACCACUACUGCUGCUGUACUGCGUCAUCUUCUUGAAGAAAAACGAGGUUCACAGGUCAAAAGAAGAAACGUGACUGAAAGCGACGGUACCGUUGAAUAUACAUAGGUAGAGAGAGAAAAUUGUUUCCCUUUAGAUGGAUGGAAUACCUGCGUAGUUCUCGUAGAUUUUACACCUGCGCAACACACUUUAUUUUUCGAUCUUGGAUUUAUGGCAAAAUUUAAUACACCUGUUUACACAAGUCAUUACUGCGGUUGCUGAAAUUGUGGCUGCAAAAAUUUACCAUUUUUUUUUCUUUAAUAGUCUCACAACACGCAAAAAAGAACAAGAAACAUAUAAAUAUUAUUAAACUUUUUAAAUUAUUGAUGCGUUCGCUAAAAAUAAUUGUUGGAAACAAUUUUUAACCCACAUUAGAAUUUAUUAUAAUAAAAUAUCAUUUUUUUUGUAUAUGAUCUUUCAUUUUAUGUUUUCACCAUUCAACGACCUAUUUAUAUCCCUCUUAAUUUGAUUGCUGGAUAAACCAAAAAAAGAGAAUUACUAAUAAUAGUAAAGAAUUUAAUUUCUUUUCGAAUGAAAUAAAAGUGUUCAAAAAACUCCAUUAAUUGAUAAAUAAACAAUUUUUAAAUUGCAUUUUCUAAUUUUCAAAUCAAUAAACUAUUUCAGGAAUGAGUAUCCAUAUAAAUCUCUGACUAAAUACUUUACAGGUCCUAAAACAUAUUGAAGACAAAAUAACGAGGUCACUUUAUCGAUCCUUACACAAUAUAAGUCACUUCUAAUCAAGUUCAAGUGGUUUUGAGUUUUACUAUUUAAUUUUGGUGAAAUUAAAACGUUCAAUACAUUUUAUUUAUUUUCAUUUAAUUAUUUUUCAUUCGCUAUACUUUCUAUAGUAUUUAAUUUCUUUCUCGAUGUAACAAUAAAAAAAAUAAUGCAAAUAAAACGUGAAUAAAUAUUUA